rnacentral:rRNA from 1 species
AGAGACAGCAGCCGCCGCGGGAAUACGGAGGGAGCUAGCGUUGUUCGGAAUUACUGGGCGUAAAGCGCACGUAGGCGGCUUUGUAAGUUAGAGGUGAAAGCCUGGAGCUCAACUCCAGAAUUGCCUUUAAGACUGCAUCGCUUGAAUCCAGGAGAGGUGAGUGGAAUUCCGAGUGUAGAGGUGAAAUUCGUAGAUAUUCGGAAGAACACCAGUGGCGAAGGCGGCUCACUGGACUGGUAUUGACGCUGAGGUGCGAAAGCGUGGGGAGCAAACAGGAUUAGAUACCCCAGUAGUCCCUGUCUCUUAUAC